rnacentral:misc_RNA from 1 species
AACACUGUUAACCUGCGGUACCUGCGGAGGGAUCAUUAUUGAAUAAACUUGGUCAAGCUGUUGCUGGUCCUUCGGGACAUGUGCACGCUUGCCACCAAUUUUAACCACCUGUGCACUUUUUGUAGACUUGGAAACGUUUCUCGAGGCAACUCGGAUUGAGAACUGCUGGCGCAAGUCGGCUUUUCUUAUGUUUUCUCAGUCUAUGUUUUCAUAUACACCUAAUGUAUGUAUCAGAACGUA